ACCGAUGAAGGCGAUUAUCAGGUCAAGCUUAAAAACCUGACGCGCUUUUUGGAAGGUGGUGACAAGGGCAAAGUCACACUGCGCUUCCGUGGUCGUGAAAUGGCGCACCAGGAUAUCGGCCGUAAGCUGAUGGAAAGGAUCGCGGCAGACCUGGAAGAGAUCGGAGUGGUAGAGGCCUUUCCUAAAAUGGAAGGCCGCCAGAUGAUCAUGAUUAUUGCCCCGAAAAAGAAGUGAUCCAACGGCGAUGUCAACGGGCCACCGUUAAACCGGUGGUCGGCCCUGGGUUUUCUAAAAAAUAUCGAGCGGAGUUUUCCUCAUGCCGA
rnacentral:misc_RNA from 1 species